CCUACGGGUGGCAGCAGUGGGGAAUAUUGGGCAAUGGACGCAAGCCUGACCCAGCAACGCCGCGUGAAGGAAGAAGGCUUUCGGGUUGUAAACUUCUUUUAAGGGGGAAGAGCAGAAGACGGUACCCCUUGAAUAAGCCACGGCUAACUACGUGCCAGCAGCCGCGGUAAUACGUAGGUGGCAAGCGUUGUCCGGAUUUACUGGGUGUAAAGGGCGUGUAGCCGGGAAGGCAAGUCAGAUGUGAAAUCCGGAGGCUCAACCUCCGAAUUGCAUUUGAAACUGGUUUUCUUGAGUACUGGAGAGGCAGACGGAAUGCGUGGUGUAGCGGUGAAAUGCAUAGAUAUAAGGAAGAACUCCAGUGGCGAAGGCGGUCUGCUGGACAGCAACUGACGGUGAGGCGCGAAAGCGUGGGGAGCAAACAGGAUUAGAUACCCGGGUAGUC
rnacentral:rRNA from 1 species